CUUACUCCUGCCUCUUCACUCUCUCCCCCCCCUCUCUCUCUCUCACGACACAGACGCUCUCUCUCUCUCUCCCUCUCUCCUCGCCUGCACAACUAGCAGAUCGGCGUAGUUGCAGUCGUAUUGUUCCGGUGAAGCAUGUGAGAUUUGUGGGGCUUUUUUGUGGGGCUGAUCGUGAACAAGGAGUAAUCAGAUGGCGACGGCGUUGAGGACGGCGACGACACAACUCUUGCUUCAGAGGUGGGUUAUCUUCUUAAAAUCAAGCCUUCUGUUUACUACUACCAAGUACUAUGAACUUUCAAUAGAGUGUACUAAAACUCAUGUGUGCCUGAUAACUGAUUACUGCCCCGGGGGAGAGUUGUUCCUGCUUUUAGACAGACAACCACUGAAGGUCUUGAGGGAAGAUGCUGUGAGAAUGUUGAUCUUUAUGGAGGAUGGAUCUCCCACUGUGGAGGAGGGAGAAAGAAGAAAAUUGUUACGAAACGUCGGAUAGAAUUACUCAGGGAGGAGAGAGCAAAGGAACUUGAGGAGGAUUAUGAGCGAGAGGAAGAGCUACUAGAUCUAGUAGAGGAGGAAGAAAUACCGGAACCAGAAGAACCGGAUAUUGAGUUCCGCGAACUUCCAUCCAAACAGCAGAAGGCUUACCAUAAGAGGCUCCGUAAGAGCAUGUCGAUCAUUAGUGCCGCAAAAGCUGAUAAUUUUACUCCCUGAGAUUAUUUGGGGCCCCGUUGUUACGGCUUGGGGUACUAUACUUCCUCGUUCUGCCUUCCAAGUUUUUUUCUUAUAGCCAAUUUCGAUGCUCUUAUUGCGCAUCUUCUCGACACAUUUUUGGAAGAAUUCAAGUCUUAUCAGUUUUGAGAUAGAUCUUCUGGCUGGAACUAUCUUGAUUUUCCAGUGAAAAUUUCACUCUUACUCUUAUCUUUGAUCUUGAUUUUCCAGUCAAAAUUUUAUUGUUUACGUUUAAUGUGUGAGUGCUGAAAGGUUUUGGAUCAAAAAUGAAUUCUUGUUUGUAAGUUUCACGAAUCCUGUGGUAAUAAUGUCGCAGUUUACAAGUAUUCAUGGAUUGGUUGGUAACAUGAUUAUUUGAUACGUAUAUUUUUUCUUA